UUGACUGGGGCAGGAAGAGAAGGAUCUCAGC
rnacentral:piRNA from 1 species